rnacentral:lncRNA from 1 species
AGUUGCUCGCUGCAGGUUCUCCUGGCUCGGCGGCGCGGAGGCAAAGGCCUGUUUCUGCAAAGACUUUGUGAGGCCCCAUGACUCUUCCUCAACCUCCCGACCGCUGGAGGUCCCUGAUAGUUGAAUAAGCUAAGUGCAAUGUGCCCGCCCAGUUCUUUCCUGGAAGAUGAAACACAGCUCCCUGAGUCAGGAGACAGAAGAAUGGAUAAACAUUCCUCAAUUGCUGUUGAUAGGUUCUCACCCCAGAACCCAGGCAGUCGGCCUCAUGCUCCAGAGUGCAGGUCCCAUAAGGCGUGAGUAUGGGGGUGUUUUCCACCAUGACAUCAAGUGCAUCCCCACACUGCCCCCAAACGUAAUUAGCAUGUCCUAUGGCUGUUGGAGAUUCUGGCUUGUUUCGAGAACUAGCUUCCUGGCACUCUAGGGCUCAACUGCAAAGAAAUGCUCUUUUGUGAUAACGCAUCUGGACAUCCAGUGCAAGAAACUGAGCAUUAGUCCCCCUGACCCUCCCACCCCCCAGAAAGACUCCAACUGAAAGGUUGCACAAUGGCUGAUCAAAGUCCACCACAUUUCUUUCCAGGGCUACGAUUUUGUUCUGUCUCCACUCUGGGGAGUUGGAAGGCUGGAGCACGGACGAGCCAUCUCUCCCCCUACCUCCUGGUGAUGUUUGGAAAUCUUAAUUUUGUUUUAUAGGUCACAGGUCAGCCCAUCCAUGCCGAUCCUUGUAAUUGGACAGGACGUGCUUUGUGUGGUCUGAUUACAUCUUUUCUUUCAGACCCAAGGGGAGCCGUCAAUUAGAGCCGUGCUUGAGCCUAAGGCUGACCUGAACCGUUUGAAGGCAGAUCUUCCAUGGAGUGCCCCGGUACUACUUCAUUUCCAGGAAUCUUAAUUACAAGGCAUUACUCUGAUGGAUUGAAUGUAUUAAGUAGCCUCAAUUCACCCCAGUUUGCAGCCCUUUGGGAGGCGGCUCCCCUCCCAUCAUUUUCUGCCCCGCUUUGCUGCCCCAGUGCCAUGGCACCAGGAGGGCUUUGUUCCAAACCAACUUUGAGCUGUGAGUAUUAUCAGAGGCCCCUCCCCUGCCUGGAGGCCUUUCGGAAACUACUUUAUCUCUUGCAGGUCCUUUUCUGGAAAGGUCAAAGGGAUGAGAGGGGUCUCUGCAGUGUCCUGGAUCUGGUUUCAACCUCACCUUCUCCAUGUAUGAGAAGACAAGUCACUUGGAUUCACCAUGCCUCGGUUUCCCCAGAUGGCAAGCAGGACUCAGCCUUUUGUACCUGGUCCAUCAGAGGACGAGCUUUCACGUGUUAGCCAACACCUCCGUCAUCACCAUCAUUGCCAUGAUCAUCGUCCUCAUCACCUUGACACGCUGAGCUUUGUAGCUUAAAAACAAAAUGCCUUUAACAAUGUGCAACAGGUCUAAGAUGCCACCUUUGGGAUCAGAUGGGAGUUUGGGAUUAUUUCUAUUUUCCAAUUGUUCAGCCCCCUCCCACUAAGUGCGAAGCGGAGAGCCAUUAAGUUGCAAUGGAUUUGAUUCACCACGUGGCCCCUCAAAUCCUUUCUGGAACAAGAUUGGAUGUAAAAAUAAAUCAAAUAAAUGCAUUUUCAGCGUGUGCAGCCCA